UCUAUAGAGAUUUCUAAGUUUCCCAGGGAGGCACUUGGUAUGACCAAGUGUUCAAAUCUUACCCAAAGGAAUCCCAGUGUGGGGGGAAGAGAGGCUCAGACCAUCAACUGAUCCCAGAAGUCACGAUGGUAUCUUCUCUCACAUUCCCUCUCUCUUAAGUCAAUUUAUAUUAUUUUCUGUCUUUGAGGUGGAGCUUGAGUUACUCUAGUCAGGCACAUCUUGGUUAUGAUUGGUAAAAAGUUUUCUCACUUUCAUUUAAAGGUGUAGGUUCCGAGAAAUUCAGAGCGCGUGCUCAGUGAAGGGUGGUCGCACCUUGGAGGCAUGGAGUUUUUGGGAUGGAGGUGUGUUUUGGUAUUAUAAUGAUAUUAUAAUGAGCAAAAAGUGCACAAAGAGUA